rnacentral:rRNA from 1 species
GAUGAACGCUGGCGGCGUGCCUAAUACAUGCAAGUCGAGCGAACGGACGAGAAGCUUGCUUUUCUGAUGUUAGCGGCGGACGGGUGAGUAACACGUGGAUAACCUGCCUAUAAGACUGGGAUAACUUCGGGAAACCGGAGCUAAUACCGGAUAAUAUUUUGAACCGCAUGGUUCAAAAGUGAAAGACGGUCUUGCUGUCACUUAUAGAUGGAUCCGCGCUGCAUUAGCUAGUUGGUAAGGUAACGGCUUACCAAGGCAACGAUGCAUAGCCGACCUGAGAGGGUGAUCGGCCACACUGGAACUGAGACACGGUCCAGACUCCUACGGGAGGCAGCAGUAGGGAAUCUUCCGCAAAGGGCGAAAGCCUGACGGAGCAACGCCGCGUGAGUGAUGAAGGUCUUCGGAUCGUAAAACUCUGUUAUUAGGGAAGAACAUAUGUGUAAGUAACUGUGCACAUCUUGACGGUACCUAAUCAGAAAGCCACGGGUAACUACGUG